rnacentral:lncRNA from 1 species
CACGGAUUCAGCAAACCUUCCACUGUGGCAUGGUCGAGAACCCCAGGCUAAGGAUUGACAGAGAUUCUGAAUUUGCAAACCAGAAAGAGCAGCACUUCAUCACGGCUUCAAGAAGACCCCUGGGACGGGAGGGCCUUCUGCUUCUCUUUCUUCCUCUCUCUUUUCAGAUUCACCCAGAUGCCUUGGAUAAUUUGUUUUGGAAAACAUAUAUUGAAGAUAUCAGAGCCACAGUAUGACAGAAGACUAGGUCCCAGAAUCACAACUGGAAGGAAAGUCAUGCACUAAUGAAGAAAACAAUUCUUAAGGCUUAUAUGAGCUGAAAACAAACUUCUGUCAUGUUGCUGCCUUUAUCCAUUUUUAAAAGAUGUUUGUCAUCAGUAGUGCUACUCUAAUAAAAUACAUCAUGAG